rnacentral:lncRNA from 11 species
GCCUGAUUAGCACUAAAACGAGCUCUUCAUAAGUGACACCUGAGAACAUAGAAUAAAAGGUGUUUAAGUUUGUACUCAUGUUAUAGGAGGCAAUGUUUUGCUUCAUGGUGAAACUAUGGAUUCUUUGGAUUUUUGGCCUUGCUGAUUCUGAACGGUACCUUGACUUCUGCAUUGGAAGUUUGCCAGGUGUGGGAGACUGAACAAGAUGUAUUCAGAAGGCCAAAAAGGGGCCCAGGGAAAACAGUAUCUGAAUAAAGCCAGCCAAUUCCGCA